rnacentral:rRNA from 1 species
CCUACGGGUGGCAGCAGUGAGGAAUAUUGGGCAAUGGGGGCAACCCUGACCCAGCGAUGCCGCGUGAGGGAAGAAGGUCUUCGGAAUGUAAAGCUCUUUCGGUCGGGACGAAGAUGACGGUAGCGUCUAAAGAAGAACCGGCAAACUACGUGCCAGCAGCCGCGGUAAUACGAAGGGGGCGAGCGUUGUUCGGAAUUACUGGGCGUAAAGGGAGUGUAGGCGGGUAUGUAAGAUAGCGGUGAAAUGCCGGGGCUCAACCCCGGAACUGCCAUUGAGACUGUGUCUCUAGAGUAAUGGAGAGGAUAGCGGAAUUCCCAGUGUAGCGGUGAAAUUCGUAGAUAUUGGGAGGAACACCGGUGGCGAAGGCGGCUGUCUGGCCAUUAACUGACGCUGAGGCUCGAAAGCCUGGGGAUCAAACAGGAUUAGAUACCCUUGUAGUC